rnacentral:snRNA from 1 species
CUGCGGGUAGUCACACAUACAAAAAAUUGGCAUGAUACAUAGAAGAUUAAGCAUGGCCCCCUGCUCAACGAUUACACACAGAUCCGUGACGCAUAGCAUUAUUUU